CUCCCUUCCUCGGCCAUUCCCUUGAGGUCAGUUCCAGCAAUGUUACAAGAUCUCCCUUCCUCGGCCAUUCCCUUGAGGUCAGUUCCAGCAAUGUUACAAGCUCUCCCUUCCUCGGCCAUUCCCUUGAGGUCAGUUCCAGCAAUGUUACAAGCUCUCCCUUCCUCGGCCAUUCCCUUGAGGUCAGUUCCAGCAAUGUUACAAGCUCUCCCUUCCUCGGCCAUUCCCUUGAGGUCAGUUCCAGCAAUGUUACAAGCUCUCCCUUCCUCGGCCAUUCCCUUGAGGUCAGUUCCAGCAAUGUUACAAGCUCUCCCUUCCUCGGCCAUUCCCUUGAGGUCAGUUCCAGCAAUGUUACAAGCUCUCCCAUCCUCGGCCAUUCCCUUGAGGUCAGUUCCAGCAAUGUUACAAGCUCUCCCUUCCUCGGCCAUUCCCUUGAGGUCAGUUCCAGCAAUGUUACAAGCUCUCCCUUCCUCGGCCAUUCCCUUGAGGUCAGUUCCAGCA